rnacentral:misc_RNA from 1 species
UACGAGUGCCCCAAGCGUUAUCCGGAAUUAUUGGGCGUAAAGGGUCCGCAGGCGGUCCUGUUAGUCUUGUGUGAAAUCUCCCGGCUUAACUGGGAAAACGCAUAGGAAACGGCAGGACUAGAGGAUGUGAGAGGUAUGUGGAACUCAUGGUGUAGGGGUGAAAUCCGUUGAUAUCAUGGGGAACACCAAAUGCGAAGGCAACAUACUGGCACAUUCCUGACGCUCAGGGACGAAAGCGUGGGUAGCGAAUGGG